rnacentral:lncRNA from 1 species
UUUUUUCCAAACAAUCUUUUCUUCUUACUUUACUCAACAGUACUAGGAAAUAUAGACGAUAAAGACAUUCCUGAAUAGAUGAAUCGACCUCGGCUACAAUUUGGACUUGGUUGCCACAAACAAUUUGGACUUCGUAGGUUUCAAUCUGUCCAAGCUUCUCCACUAAAUUAUAGCUCGAACGCUACAAGUCUUCUUGUCCCCAUUUCCUGGAAAUAUCCAAGGAACAAACUUCCUACCUCCACUCACAGAUGGUCCUAGCAGAAUUGCCAUUGCGGCCUAGCUCAGCUGAUUCCUUUCAGAGACAGCCACCGGCC